UACGUAGGGGGCUAGCGUUGUCCGGAUUCAUUGGGCGUAAAGAGCUCGUAGGCGGCCACUCAAGUCGAAUGUGAAACCUCGAGGCUCAACCUCGAGCCUGCAUUCGAUACUGGGCGGCUAGAGUCUGGUAGGGGGAUCUGGAAUUCCUGGUGUAGCGGUGGAAUGCGCAGAUAUCGGGAGGAACACCGGUGGCGAAGGCGGGUCUCUGGGCAGUAACUGACGCUGAGGAGCGAAAGCCAGGGGAGCAAACGGG
rnacentral:rRNA from 1 species